rnacentral:rRNA from 1 species
GUGAGGAAUUUUCCGCAAUGGGCGAAAGCCUGACGGAGCAAUGCCGCGUGAAGGAUGAAGGCCUAUGGGUUGUAAACUUCUUUUCUCAGAAAAGAAUUAUGACGGUAUCUGAGGAAUAAGCAUCGGCUAACUCUGUGCCAGCAGCCGCGGUAAGACAGAGGAUGCAAGCGUUAUCCGGAAUGAUUGGUCGUAAAGCGUCUGUAGGUUGUUUAAAAAGUAUUCUGUCAAAGAUUAGGGCUUAACCCUAGAUAGGCAGAAUAAACUUUUAAGAUAGAGUUUGGUAGAGGCAGAGGGAAUUCCCGGUGGAGCGGUGAAAUGCGUAGAUAUCGGGAGGAACACCAAAGGCGAAGGCACUCUGCUGGGCCAAUACUAACACUGAGAGACGAAAGCGAGGGGAGCAAAUGGGAUUAGAAACCCUAGUAGUCC